GUACACGCUGUGACUAGCAUAUCAAUAAGCGGAGGAAAAGAAACUAACAAGGAUUCCCCUAGUAACGGCGAGUGAAGCGGGAAGAGCUCAAAUUUGAAAUCUUAAAGGGUUUCCCUUUACGAAUUGUAGUUUAAAGAAGUGUUUUCUGUUGAGGUUUUGGUAAAAGUUCUUUGGAAUAGGACAUCAUAGAGGGUGAGAAUCCCGUAUUUGACCUUUACUUUCAACUUUGUGAUACACUUUCAAAGAGUCGGAUUGUUUGGGAAUGCAGUCCAAAAUGGGUGGUAAAUUUCAUCUAAAGCUAAAUAUUGGCGAGAGACCGAUAGCGAACAAGUACCGUGAGGGAAAGAUGAAAAGAACUUUGAAAAGAGAGUUAAACAGUACGUGAAAUUGUCAAGAGGGAAGCGUUUGACACCAGUGUUGUUUUUCUGAAAAUCAAUUAAAGAACUGUUUAUGCUAAGUUGUUUAGACUUUAUCAGCUAACUGUUUAGUUCUGAGCUUUUCUUUAAUGCACUUUUCAGUUAACAAGUCAACAUCAAUUUCUUUUGCUGUAAAAAAGCUUGAGGAAGGUGGCUUGAGAUUCGUCUUAAGUGUUUAUAGCCUCUUGCCUAUGCAGUCGGAGAGAUUGAGGUCUGCAACGUAGAUCCUUCGGGGCUAAAUGCAUUUGUGCUAAGUUAUAACAUUUUAUAGACAACUUGUUGACUAUGAUUUGUCUUGUAGCUUACUCGCUUAUGUUAUUUUACCUACGCUUAGGAUGUUGAUCUACAGAGCGAGAGU
rnacentral:rRNA from 1 species